CGAGUUGCUAGAAUUUUGAGUUUAUCUCGUUCGCAUCGAGGGGGCCAGGGGUUCAAAUCCCCUCAGCUCCACCA
rnacentral:tRNA from 1 species